rnacentral:lncRNA from 1 species
UUUUUGGUGUGUUGAACUCUGCACUGGCAAUGAACGCCUUUUAGCCCAUUUCAUCACUGUCUUUUGCUUCUCUUAUUUCUAUUGAGAAGUCUAUUUCUCUUUCUUUUUUUGCUGCACCUAUGGCAUGUGGAAGCUGUUCCUGGGCCAGGGAUUGAACCCAAACCACAGCAGUGACCUGAACCACUGCAGUGUCCACGCCUUCCCCCCGCCCCACUCCUUGACCCACUGCGACACAAGAGAACUCUUCCUCCUCAUUUUCUUAAAGUACAAUGUGAAGGGGAGACUCGACAACCACUAGGGUCCUCACUCCUGUUCUGACAUCUUGUGGAAAAGACUUGGGCUUGCUUAGCCGUGGACUUCAGUAGCAGUUACAUAAGAAGUCGCAGGGGGGAGCAGCUCUCUUUUAGUGGGUGGAAUUCUCGCCUGAGCCUCCUCUCUCUGCUCUGCCGAGGACCACCCUCAUAUCACUGGGAAUAAAUAAUGAUGGUUUAACCAUUUGCAUGUGUUCCACUACGCCCAUUUGUGGAAUGUUUUGACGUUUUUUUGACGGAGAAUAGUAUCUGCACAUCCAGAUAAUUACAGUAGGGUAUGGAGAGGCUUGUGAGUGAAGCUUAUUCCGAGGGUAAUAAAUUCCAUGUCUUGGCAGGAUAGGCUCUCCUUAAGAUAAGAGAAGAAACAAAUGGAGCUCUGGAGAGUGAAAUCCUCUUCAUCCUUAGAGAAAAGUCACACAUGUUCUCACUUGAGGAUGCAAUGGAAAGAGUAUUUGGAAUCAGGGAUUCUGGAUUUAGUUAAGUCCCCUGCUACUAAUUAACAAUGAGACUUUAAGUCACAAAUCUAUUUGGAUUUUAGUUUUUCUUCUGCUGUAAAAUGAGGAUGAAAUGAGAGGUUGCAGACUCUUUGUAAAUUCCUGAAUUACUAUCCAAAUGUAAAUUAUCAUCUUUUUAUACAACAUCGGUCUGGGCACUGAACAGAUUAGUGAUGGGGGGAGCCAGGGGGGCAGGUUUGCUCGUUUUCUCCAAAAGAAGGAAAGAGCUAGAGAGAGGAACAUCUUAGAGCACUUCUUUUGCUUCCAUAUUUAGAUAACAAGGUUUCUGACUACAGGGUCACUGGAACACAGUAAGACAUGGGGCAAAAAUGGAGAUUUAAGCUAGAUGAAACUUGAUCCAUCCCCUAUUGGGGCCACAUGCUGUGUAAGUUGGACAACUGCCUAACCUCGCCAAGACUAUCAAUGAAAUGGCGAUAGCUUUUCAAUGCAGUGGAGAAGACUUCUUGAGACACCUCAUGAAAAACUGCCUAACCAUGUUUUGAACGUUCUAGAUGCUCAAUAAAUGCGAGUUCCAUUCUCUCUUUCACAGAGGGGAGUGGCCGCAUUUACAAAUUAACUUUUGUUAACAUUUUACCGAGAGCUCCUUGAGACCCAUCAAUUGAAAUACUCAUGGAAGGGGAAAACUUAAGUAGAAAACCUCCAUAGAACUUUCUGCUCUGUGAAAAUUAUCUGGAGGAAGACAUGUGCCAAUUAGGCUAAAAGGAAAAGGAAGGUUAAAUAUUAUCUGAGUGAUUUUGAAAACUGUAUUAUACCAUAAAAUAAUACCUAUUAAGUAAUGUAACUUCCCAUCCAUGCCAUUCCACAUUUCAUUGGCUCCCAUCAUCUUGCAGCACUCAAGGAUAUGGUUUGCUGUUUAAAAGGGGGGGGGGGAAGGCAAGCAAAACGAUGUAUCAUGGGCCUUCUUCCUGCCAGCUUUAAAUUACCCCCACUUAACCCCAGAAGAAUCCAAAGAGCAGCAUCUUUUAGCUGAAAUUUCAGCUUAAAUGUUUCUAUAGCUUCCCAGCUGACUCGCCAUUCAUAAGCCUUUUAAAAAUUAAUUAUUAAAACCGUUUCCAUUAGUCUUCUGCUUGGCCUUCAUGCAGUCAUUCUUCUUCUGCUGUUUAGCAAGUGACAAACCACCAGCAUUAGCUAUAAAUACACGGCACCAGAUAUGGGAAGAAGGCAUAUGACUCAUGCUGGACCGCUCCCCAGGGCUAACUCAGUGAUGACUGAAUUCUGGGAAGUGGGGUCAGGUCCACACUUAACCUACAGGCAAAUUCCAAAGCAGCCGGCCCUAGGAAGAGAAUUCCCUUCACCAGCAGUUCCUUCUACUCCGCUUCUUGGUUCAAGGCACUGGGACAUUUCACUCGCUUCGCUGUUGGUAAAUUCCUUCUAUCUGUCCGUCUGUCCAUCCAUCCAGUAAACACUACUGAUGUUCUUACCAACCACACACCUAACACAGGAGGCAGAAUAUCAGAUGAGAAUGGGUUUCUGUCCUCAGAAAGAACACACCUGCAAUGUGGGAGUAAAUAGCCAUUACAGUGUAGAGGGACAGAAUGGAGAGCCCGGGUGGCCAGACAAGGACAUCAGGAAAGACUUCUAGGAAAAGGUCAUAUCAAAGACAUCAAAAUAAAGAUUCAGGAGGGUCCGGGAGCAUUCCCAAUACAAGAGCAGCUUAGGCAAAGGCAGAGGACUGCAAAACAGAAGGACUUCUUGGAGAAUGAAACAGGGUGAAGAAUGGCUGGAUUGGAAAGUUCCUUGAGGCCAGCGGUCAAAGCCGAGGCAGGCAGGGAAGGUGGGCUUACAUUCAAUCUGGGAGUUCCUGUCGUGGCGCAGCAGAAACAAAUCCGAAUAGGAACCAUGUGGUUGCGGGUUCAAUCCCUGACCUCACUCAGUGGGUUGAGGAUCCAGCGUUGCUGUGAGCUGUGGUGUAUAGGUCACAGACACAGCUCGGAUCUGGUGUUGCUGUGGCUGUGGUGUAGGCCAGCAGCUGUAGCUCUGAUUUGACCCCUAGCCUGGGAACCUCCAUAUGUCAUGGGUGUGGCCCC